GGAAAAACUCGGCCAUUAGCAGGUGAUAGCGCGUCAAGACUGAACCUGCACUAAAGCCAAAGCCUAAGCCUGCUGUGAAAGCCUAAGUCUAAUCAAAAGCCUAAGCAUGAAAAAGCUAAGAUAAAGCAUGAGCUG
ensembl:ncRNA T07A5.8 ncRNA